UACGUAGGGGGCAAGCGUUGUCCGGAUUUACUGGGCGUAAAGAGCGUGUAGGCGGCCACGCAUGUCCGUUGUGAAAACUGGAGGCUCAACCUCCAGCUGUCGACGGAAACCGUAUGGCUAGAGUCCGGAAGAGGAGAGUGGAAUUCCUGGUGUAGCGGUGAAAUGCGCAGAUAUCAGGAAGAACACCAAUGGCGAAGGCAGCUCUCUGGGACGGUACUGACGCUGAGACGCGAAAGCGUGGGGAGCGAACAGG
rnacentral:rRNA from 1 species